rnacentral:rRNA from 1 species
UUAAUUGAAGAGUUUGAUCAUGGCUCAGAUUGAACGCUGGCGGCAGGCCUAACACAUGCAAGUCGAGCGGUAACAGAAAGAAAGCUUGCUUUCUUUGCUGACGAGCGGCGGACGGGUGAGUAAUGCCUGGGAAUAUACCCUGAUGUGGGGGAUAACUAUUGGAAACGAUAGCUAAUACCGCAUAAUCUCUUCGGAGCAAAGAGGGGGACCUUCGGGCCUCUCGCGUCAGGAUUAGCCCAGGUGGGAUUAGCUAGUUGGUGGGGUAAUGGCUCACCAAGGCGACGAUCCCUAGCUGGUCUGAGAGGAUGAUCAGCCACACUGGAACUGAGACACGGUCCAGACUCCUACGGGAGGCAGCAGUGGGGAAUAUUGCACAAUGGGGGAAACCCUGAUGCAGCCAUGCCGCGUGUAUGAAGAAGGCCUUCGGGUUGUAAAGUACUUUCAGUUGUGAGGAAGGCGUUAAAGUUAAUAGCUUUAGCGUUUGACGUUAGCAACAGAAGAAGCACCGGCUAACUCCGUGCCAGCAGCCGCGGUAAUACGGAGGGUGCGAGCGUUAAUCGGAAUUACUGGGCGUAAAGCGCAUGCAGGCGGUCUGUUAAGCAAGAU